rnacentral:rRNA from 1 species
GUUGGUGCUGAUUAGGGUGAGGGUCCACCUGUUCCCAUUCCGAACACAGUAGUUAAGCUCACUUCUGCUGACAAUACUUGGCUGGCGACGGCCCGGGAAGAUAGGUAGCGCCAACA